UACAGGGGGGGCAAGCGUUGUUCGGAAUUACUGGGCGUAAAGCGCACGUAGGCGGCUUUCUAAGUCGGGGGUGAAAUCCUGGAGCUCAACUCCAGAACUGCCUUUGAUACUGGGGAUCUCGAGUCCGGGAGAGGUGAGUGGAACUGCGAGUGUAGAGGUGAAAUUCGUAGAUAUUCGCAAGAACACCAGUGGCGAAGGCGGCUCACUGGCCCGGUACUGACGCUGAGGUGCGAAAGCGUGGGGAGCAAACAGG
rnacentral:rRNA from 1 species